ensembl:lncRNA
AUGGGAGUAAGCGAAAGGAAUGCAGAGCUGUGAUAGAGACCUCUGUGCCAGGUGCCAUGAGACAAGCUGCAAGCAACUGCUAGUUAUGAGAACCGUGCCUUGUUGUACUUAGCACGUUAUUUGUACUGCUCUAUAUAAAUGGCUGUGUGCAGUUAUUAAAUGGCUUUGGCUACUAGUAAUCAUACUGGUGUGUUGCCUCAUCCAUGCUGCUCCUCGGCUGAAUAUUGCUCUCCAGGGAACCUUGGACAAGUUGCUUGGCGACACUAACAUGAAGGCUUCCUGAGCGGGAAACACUGAGAUACAACACUGACAAGUGGCAUCAGCAGAAACACAGACAGAUGACAGAAGCUGCAUCCUGUAGUCUGAGGGGAAUGAAGACUGCAAGGCCUUGGGACGAUUGGUGAAAGACUCUGGGGUGCAAGCUAUUUUCUCUUCCCUCCUUCCAUUUUCAGCAGAUUCUGAGUAAGGUCCACUUGUACCAAACAAAAUCUCAAGGACUGGAAGAUAUUCAGACUCUGCAAGCAAGAUACAACGAGCAUAAUAACACCACUUGAGAGAGCAACUUCUCAGCUGCAAAACUCACUUUUUCAACAUAGUCACCACUAUUAACUAUGCAUUUUCACCACUGAUGAACAAGAACUUGCAUGCUGCGCUUGUCAAAAUCUGCACCAACACAGGUGCCCCACUCUUGUUGUCGCCACUACUGAAAUGCACCACCCUCUGCCUCACUGUGCUCACAUCCGCUGUCUCCAUAUAUAUUUGGUAAGCCAUCUUUUUGCAUGGGGAAAUUCUAUUCCAUCCCACUGCUUCAUACACACUUCCAUGUCAGAUGCCAUUCUGUCAGACUGUCCCUCUGCUGCCAUCUGUGACACAGCAACAAAAUGUAACAGAAUAUUGUCAUUAAGGUUCAGCCUCUACUGCCAUUCCACCCUCAUCUGCCUCUGACAUUGUAGGCAGACAUAAUAAAAUAGAAGGCAUUGCUUUCAGAGCAGCUCUCCUAGCAUGAAGAGGAAGCUGAAGCUCUCACAGAUGGAACAAAAAGAUUGUGGGGGUCUCUAACAGCAAGAACACCCAAGAUCUGAGAUGUACAUUGGGAGGGGUUUGCAGAGAAAUGAAAGUUCUCUCUCUGUCCAAUGUUAUAAAAGGAGACAGAAAGAUAUGUUAUAUUCCUUGCUUUUUGUCCUGAAUUCUUCCAUACUUAGAUUUUAUUUAAUACUGAGUAUCCAUUUGUAGAUAGUUUUUUAACAAAGCUAAUAAAUCAUGAAAUUAAGUUUGAAGCUCUCAGAUAAUUAUACAUUCAUUAGUCAUGAGCCAUUACAGAGUUCAACUGGCAAACAGCCUACUAAAAUCCCAGCUAACUAUUAUACCUAUGAAACUUUCUGGUAGUAUGCUUACUAAAUAUUCACAGUAUUCUGGGGGUUUGCAAUGCAUAUGUCUGAUAAUUAUCAUAAAUAUUUUGAACCGGUAUAACUUAUGAAGCAUAAUUAAAUAUAUAUAUAUGUAUGACUAACAUUUACUUCAAACAUUAUACAUUUUAAAUCUACAUUGGAUUAUUGAUAUAUAAGUAUAGAAAUUUAAUCUUCCAGUUUUCAGUACUAGGAAAGAACAAUAUUUUUAGAAAAAAAUAUUUUUACAAUUAUUUGCAUUAUGCUCAAGACAGAAUUUAGCAAUUUAGAUAAUUAUGAGUACUUUAUUUUUCAUAUGCUGUAAGAUGUGAAACAAGUAAUAAACAAACAAACGAGUAAAUAAAUAAGGUGACAUAUAAACCUCCCUACUAAUUUAUUUAUUAUUGUAAAAAACUUCGUCCUUAUACCCAAACUAAAUCUCCCUUUUAGUUAGACACCAUUUCCCAUGUCCUAUGAAACCAGAACCUGCUAAAGAGUCUGUCCCCUUCUUCCUUGCAGCUCCCCAUUAGGUACUGAAAGGCCACUCACAGGUCACCACAGAACCUUCCCUUCUCCAGGCUGCACAGCCCCAGCUCUCA